UUCAAAAUUUAAACGAAGUAUGUUCUAUUUUGUCAAUUUGUGACAAUAUUGUAUUAAUAAGAUCACAAGUGGCGGAUAUUCGCGAGGAGCAAGAACGUCAGGCAAAUAUUUUGGAAGGUUCUGCUCUAUCUCUUGAGUCUGCAAAAGUACCAAAGAAUUUAAUCACCAAAACUAAUGACGAAGUGUGUUCUAUUUUAUCAAUAUGCAACAAUCUAGCAGCUUUAAGCUCGGAGCUGGCUGCAGUGCGGGCGGAGCAAGAGCGUCAGGGAGAUCUUUUGGAGGAGUCUUGUAAAACAGAAACCGAUUCCGUUCCCGCAAAUUGU